AUGGAAAGAACCCAGAUGCCCUUCAACAGAGGAAUGGAUACAGAAAAUGUGGUACAUCUACACAAUGGAAUAUUUCUCAGCUAUCAAAAACAACAGCUUUAUGAAAUUCGUAGGCAAAUGGUUGGAACUGGAAAAUAUCAUCCUGAGUGAGCUAACCCAAUCACAGAAAGACAUACAUGAUAUGCACUCACUGAUAAGUGGCUAUUAGCCCAAAUGCUUGAAUUACCCUAGAUGCCUAGAACAAAUGAAACUCAGGACGGAUGAUCAAAAUGUGAAUGCUUCACUCCUUCUCUAAAAGGGGAACAAGAAUACCCUUGGCAGGGAAGAGAGAGGCAAAGAUUAAAACAGAGACUGAAGGAACUCCCAUUCAGAGCCUGCCCCACAUGUGGCCCAUACAUAUACAGCCACCCAAUUAGACAAGAUGGAUGAAGCAAAGAAGUGCAGGCCGACAGGAGCCGGAUGUAGAUCUCUCCUGAGAGACACAGCCAGAAUACAGCAAAUACAGAGGCGAAUGCCAGCAGCAAACCACUGAACUGAGAAUAGGACCCCCGUUGAAGGAAUCAGAGAAAGAACUGGAGGAGCUUGAAGGGGCUC
rnacentral:lncRNA from 1 species